rnacentral:rRNA from 1 species
UACAGAGGUCCCAAGCGUUACUGAGAAUCACUGGGUUUAAAGGGUGCGUAGGUGGUCCGUUAAGUCAGUUGUGAAAUCCCCGGGCUCAACCCGGGAACUGCUUCUGAUACUGGCGGACUUGAGGCCAGUAGGGGUCACUAGAACUGACGGUGGAGCGGUGAAAUGCGUAGAUAUCGUCAGGAACGCCAAUGGUGAAGACAGGUGACUGGGCUAGAUCUAACACUGAGGCACGAAAGCGUGGGGAGCGAACGGG